GCCGCAGUGGCGAAACGGUAGACGCGCCGGUCUUCCAAACCGGUUCUCCCCCGAGAGUACGGGUUCGAAUCCCGUCUGCGGUACGA
rnacentral:tRNA from 1 species